GCCACAUCUGGAGUGCCAUGACCAGGUCUGGUCUCCCCAGUAUGAGAGAGACAUGGAGCUACAGUAGACAG